GGGCCUAUAGCUCAGUUGGUUAGA
rnacentral:ncRNA from 2 species